ACAGGUGCUGCAUGGUUGUCGUCAGCUCGUGUCGUGAGAUGUACGGUUAAGUCCGUGAACGAGCGCAACCCUGCCCUUAGUUGCUAAUAUGCGAAAGCAUAUGCACUCUAAGGGGACCGGCCAGCGGAAAGCUGGAGGAAGGUGGGAGUGACGUCAAAUCCUCAUGGCCUUUAUGUCCAGGGCUACACACAUGCGACAAUGGUCGAGACAACGCGUUGCAAACCAGUAAUGGUAAGCUAAUCGCAUAAAAUCGACCUCAGUACGGAUUGAGGGUUGCAAUUCACCCUCAUGAAGCUGGAGUUGCUAGUAACCGCAGGUCAGCUAUACUGCGAUGAAUACGUUCCCGGGGCUU
rnacentral:rRNA from 1 species